rnacentral:rRNA from 1 species
AUGCGGCCCCUGACUCUUCUGCCCCAGAGCCGCAGGCAUUUUCGUGAGGAAAAGAAGAGGCGACUGCCGCGCCAUGGAGUUCCUCAUGCAGCCGAUCCGCAGGUCGGGGAGAAUCUGGUGCCGGAAGGUUCGUCGGCGGAUCAUACAAGGCGAACUGUGGUGGGGGUGACGAUGCAGGAGGGCACGGUCUUGAGCGGCGACGAGCGGGUCUGUGGGGCGUCCGGAGCGGCGGCAAUGAGCGGCCAAGGGCGAAUCUGCAGCACUACGCAGGCGAUGGCCAUGAGCCGCGAAUGUCUAAUCUGCAGCGCGGCGCAGGCGGCAGUGGUGAGAAGGGACAGCUCGCCUCACACGUCUGAGCUGUCGACGGGGAAGAUAACUCCCGAGGCUCUGCUUCGAAUAAGAGGUUGCGGAUUGGUGCCGCUGGCCCAACCAGGGCACCUUGGCCAACCUGUGUAG